UACGUAGGGGGCAAGCGUUGUCCGGAAUCAUUGGGCGUAAAGAGCGUGUAGGCGGUCCUGUAAGUCCGCUGUGAAAGUCAAGGGCUCAACCCUUGAAUGCCGGUGGAUACUGCAGGACUAGAGUCCGGAAGAGGCGAGUGGAAUUCCUGGUGUAGCGGUGAAAUGCGCAGAUAUCAGGAGGGACACCGAUGGCGAAGGCAGCUCGCUGGGACGGUACUGACGCUGAGACGCGAAAGCGUGGGGAGCAAACAGG
rnacentral:rRNA from 1 species